UGAACGGUAUUGCACAUCAGUAAAUCUAAAAAUAGAAAUCAUUUAAUUUUGAUGUAUGGUUGGGAUCAGCGGAAUUCGAGGGUUUCUUUAACGUUGUAUUUCAACUGCAUAAUCUUCAGCUUCAUUAAUCAUCAAUAUAAUUUAUUUCUUCUAACAAUUUUAUCUUUAAAAAAAAUUGAGAUAUUGUACUUUAUACAUCAACAAAAUAAUAAUUAUAGUUAUUUAUUUUCAAUACUUCCGAGACUAAAUAGCAGAAUUAUCAAGUAAAGGUACAAGUAUUAAAUUACAGCAAAGCACACAAGUUACUGCACGUAAAAGAAUUCAUUAACGAUAACUAUAGAAUUCCAUAUAAUAAUAUAACCUUAUACACUAGUUGUAGCACAAAGCUUCUUUGUAACUCGCAGCGCUGCGUGUUAAAUUAAAAAAAAAUAUAUACUUGAGUUAACUUCUCUGAGCGUUGGUUCGAGAUCAGAUGGCUUCGUGGAACAUUCAUGGGAUUAAAACUAAGAAUCAACAAAUAAUAUAUAAGGAGGAUUUGUAAAAAACAAGUAAGAACCCUUUUUUGACGACAAAAGCGCCGCGGAAUGGUUUCACGCGUUUUUUAGAUGUUACGUUAGGUUGGAAUUCAAGAAUAUAAAACAAGAGAAUUCUCUUGAGAGAAGAUAAAAGUUUUACUGUGAAAAUUAGACAAUGAGAAUAGUCAACAAUUAUGCUAACAAAUAUUUAAAAAGGUAGAAGAGUUAAAAGUUUUAAAAGAAAACUAGUUGAGUAUGGAAAUAAAAUUGUGGUGAAUGUAUACAGGUAUAAGGUAUAAUAGAAUCAAGCUGAACAUAAAACGAUGAAAAAAUGAGAUACAGGACCAACGAUGAAUUUAAAACCAACAUAAAACUACAUGCGGUGGCUGAGUGACUCGGGUGCGUUAGGUUAUACUGGUAACUGGUAUACAACAAAAGUUAAUAGCAACAGACAAAAUAUGUUUAAAACACUAGAUGAGUUGAGUGAAGAGGAAACGGACAAAGGAAAUGAAAUAGCUACAGUACACGAGUGUGACUAGUGUAUUGUGUGGUAUGAACAAUACAAGGUCAUUGUUAAAAGAAAAUUUAUCAAGACAAUAGGUGUAAAAAUUGAGGUAAGAAGUAUAUAAUUAAGAUUACCAUUUAGUUCUUUUGAGUAAAUUUACAUUUUUUUCAGGCUAAAAAUAUCAAGUUAAAGUAAAGACAGUUUAAUUAAUCGAUUGUUUGUUUAAUAGAGGAUAUGGAUAUGAUCUAUGAUGAAUGAUAAAUGGCAAAGGCUCCGUGAAAAGGACUAAGUUUUCAUUAAAACUCAAUGUCUAUUCUGUUGUUCGCGUUUGCCCACUCUUCUAUGUUUGGUGCUCAUAAAAUUUAUGCUUCCUGUUCACUCUUACAAUGUGCUCGCUUGUUAAUGUAUACAUGUACAUGUGAAUGUAGUCACACACAUGGUUAAACGUGAACCGAAGCUUUAAACCAGCCUGCAUGUUUGCUGUAGAUGUCUUCAGACUGCGGCUCUUUUUUAGACCUGAUCUCAAAAGUAUUCUCAUCAUAUGUGAAGAUAAGAUUUUGGUGAGAAGAUUGAGGAUUGCUGAGAAGAGGCUGUGGCUUAGAAAUUAAACACGGGCAUGUCAGAAAAGUUAAUAGAGAUUGAUGUACGUGUUUAUUUUAUUUUUUUAAAUGUAACCCGCAUACCGCGGGUCUGAUCAUUGGAUUCGUCCAUGAGGGUUGAAAUGUUAAUAAAAAUUGGGAAUAAGAGUAAUAAUAAAAAUAGUAAUAAUAAUAUGAAAUUUUGUUUAUGAAGGAACAUUACAUUAUGAAAUUUGUCCAGUGCUGUGUCCAAACUUGGAGUCAAGAACACGUUUACGUUAUUGCACAUACACUUUUAACAAGCUAAUGUAAUGUAAUGUAAGGAAAUAAGUCAAAAAUAAAUGACUACUUUUUAAAAGCGUUCAAAAGCGACCCUGAAGUCUCACCUACAUACUAAAAGCUUAAUGAACUUCCAGAACGCACAAUUACGUUCAAUAUUUGCAUUAAUGAGAUUCACACUGAAAUCAGAUAUUCCUAUCGUAAAUCGCAAAUUCGCAGUGCUACAGAGCGAAACAAAAACAUCAAAAAUAAACACAAAGACAAAGUAAUUAAAAUUUUAAUAAUACUAAUUUGAAUUAAUAACUAUUUAGGACACAAGGCAAGGCCAUGGUCAUUAAAAACCUUGAGUUUAUAGUUACUACGUUAUAAAUUCCCAAAUAUUUGAACAACUUUUUAUUAUUUUUGUUAAUCUACCGAAGAAAUACUUGAACAAACAAUUAAAACUUUCGAUUUAACUUA